rnacentral:misc_RNA from 1 species
CAGAGUUGCAAGACUCCCUAAACCAUUGUGAACCUACCUUCUACCGUUGCUUCGGCGGGCGGGCCCAGCGCCCCCCCGGCCCCCCGCGGGCGCCCGCCGGAGGAUACCCAAACUCUUGACAUUAGUGGCCUCUCUGAGUAUUCUUUACUGAACAAGUCA